UCUGCCCCUAGAAGCCCUGGAGGUUUGGCUGUUGUCAUUUGCACCAGUAGGUGGCAGAGAGGAGAGAGGCUAUGUCUAUCCUCAGUGUUCUGUGGACAUCUGAAUGAUUAGUAGCCUAAUAAC
ensembl:snoRNA LOC120102674 small nucleolar RNA SNORA17